UGAACGCUGGCGGCGUGCCUAAUACAUGCAAGUCGAGCGAACAGACGAGGAGCUUGCUCCUCUGACGUUAGUGGCGGACGGGUGAGUAACACGUGGAUAACCUACCUAUAAGACUGGGAUAACUUCGGGAAACCGGAGCUAAUACCGGAUAACAUGUUGAACCGCAUGGUUCAACAGUGAAAGACGGUCUUGCUGUCACUUAUAGAUGGAUCCGCGCCGCAUUAGCUAGUUGGUAAGGUAACGGCUUACCAAGGCAACGAUGCGUAGCCGACCUGAGAGGGUGAUCGGCCACACUGGAACUGAGACACGGUCCAGACUCCUACGGGAGGCAGCAGUAGGGAAUCUUCCGCAAUGGGCGAAAGCCUGACGGAGCAACGCCGCGUGAGUGAAGAAGGUCUUCGGAUCGUAAAACUCUGUUAUUAGGGAAGAACAAAUGUGUAAGUAACUAUGCACGUCUUGACGGUACCUAAUCAGAAAGCCACGGCUAACUACGUG
rnacentral:rRNA from 1 species